CUUAGUUAGCAAUUUGCUUUUUACUCUGUCGCUGCUCAUGUUUUUCUUUGGUCUAUUCUUUUUUUUGGGAGUAUACGGGAGAAUUGCCAUGUUAGUUCCAGAUUUCAAAACGGCUGGUGGUCGUGUUCGACUGUGUGUCACUAUGGCACUAGUGAUUUAGAUAUGGGUUUUUCUAAAUUUGUGGCGGGGGGGGUAUCAAGUAAUGUCGUCUCGGAAUGAGGCUGGAAUGGUGAGAGCACUAAGGCUUCAAACCCCACUUACUAGAAUUCUUGAAGGUCUUGCAAUUGGUGGGAUGUGGAGAUAGCUCAUGGUGGACGCUUGAAACAUAUGUUAAUGAUGAGGUUGCAGUGGAGAGAAUCUAUGCGUGGAUUUGUGACGUGUUGAGGUAUGCCUGAGCUGGAUUUUUCUGAAGAAGAGUCACAUCUCGGAGUUUUGCAGCAUUGCAGCUGGUUGUGGAAAGUGCAUAGGUAUUUUUUGCAGAAGAUGGAUUUCAUUUGGUAUUUGUAAUAAGACGUUGGUUUUGUCCAUGUCUCUUUUCCAUCGUUGAAAUUGAGUGGUCUUAAGUAUCGGGGUGAAGAGUUUUGUGUGAAACAGAACAUUGUUGAUGAAGGCACCCCGUCACUCUUACUGGAUGAAAACUUUGCUUUGCACCGAACGCGGCCAAUCCGACCUAAAACGACCAUGUGUCUUUUCUCUCCUGUGCACCCGCUGGCAAGAGACUUGCAGAAAAGAGUACAUUCUAACCUACUGUUUUAGAAGUCCUCGAUCUAUUAGAAUGCAUGUUGUUUUUCUGGCACAGAAAGAAGUCUAGCGAAAGGAGCUGUUGUGAAUGGCUCAGAGGUAUGUAAGCAUGUACAUAACAAAGGGGCCUACUGUGUUAUAGCUGGUGAUAGAUGCGGACGGAAAAAGGUUGUAUUGUGAUUUUUGAGCGUUGUGAGAAGGUUGGGGAAGUCCUUGGAGCUGAUGCCCAUGACUCCUAGCCAGAAUUGUGGAGUGCAACGCAUUCCAGUUUUGUCUAUGUAGCCAGUAACACACUGUUGAGAGUGAUGAAAGUGCUCCUAUUGUUUUUGACUGUAGGACAAAGAAAAGGAUGUUUGAUCUUGACGAUUGUCUUUCUCUUUCAGGCCUUAUGGCUAUCAGCUACUCCACUCUCAAGGAUUUGUGAAUUUGUGCUGCAUUAUCGCCGCGGACUGAGGGUCUAGUAAGCGUCUAUUACGUUCGGGAUUUCGGAGUGUGUAUGGGAAAAGCAGGGCAUUAGACUAGAUGACUACGAGGACACCUUGAGAGGUCUACAAAUUGGAUUAUGUAUUGGUCAGGAUGACGUAGAGCUAUUUACAAAUUAGGGAUUCAUGUUUUGGACUUAGGAAAACCUUGACUAAAGUGGGAGUGUCCGGCAGCUAAUCAAGCUUGACAAUACAUCAGCAAAUGAAUGGCACGAUCUUCCUUCAUUGGCAAGGGAUUCUCUACUUCAAAAUAAAAAGCUUGAUUGAAUAUUCAUAUGUAAGUUUCGAUGGGAUAUCAUAUCAAGAACUAAAUUAUUGGAA